rnacentral:rRNA from 1 species
UACGGAGGGUGCAAGCGUUAUCCGGAUUCACUGGGGUUAAAGGGUGCGUAGGAGGGCAGGUAAGUCAGUGGUGAAAUCUCCGAGCUUAACUUGGAAACUGCCGUUGAUACUAUCUGUCUUGAAUAUUGUGGAGGUGAGCGGAAUAUGUCAUGUAGCGGUGAAAUGCUUAGAUAUGACAUAGAACACCAAUUGCGAAGGCAGCUCGCUACACAAAUAUUGACACUGAUGCACGAAAGCGUGGGGAUCAAACAGG